rnacentral:rRNA from 1 species
AUUGAACGCUGGCGGCAUGCCUUACACAUGCAAGUCGAACGGCAGCACGGGUGCUUGCACCUGGUGGCGAGUGGCGAACGGGUGAGUAAUACAUCGGAACGUACCUUAUCGUGGGGGAUAACGCAGCGAAAGCUGUGCUAAUACCGCAUACGCCCUGAGGGGGAAAGCGGGGGAUCGCAAGACCUCGCGCGAUUAGAGCGGCCGAUGCCUGAUUAGCUAGUUGGUGGGGUAAAAGCCCACCAAGGCGACGAUCAGUAGCUGGUCUGAGAGGACGAUCCGCCACAGUGGGACUGAGACACGGCCCAGACUCCUACGGGAGGCAGCAGUGGGGAAUGUUGGACAAUGGGGGAAACCCUGAUCCAGCCAUGCCGCGUGAGUGAAGAAGGCCUUCGGGUUGUAAAGCUCUUUUGUCAGGGAAGAAACACCGGCUCUAACACAGUCCGGGAAUGACGGUACCUGAAGAAUAAGCACCGGCUAACUACGUGCCAGCAGCCGCCGUAA